rnacentral:rRNA from 1 species
AGUAGCGAAGUUCCUGAUGUCACACUGCCAAGAAAAGCUUCUAGUGAGAAAGUAACUGCCCGUACCGCAAACCGACACAGGUAGUUGAGGAGAGAAUCCUAAGGUGUGCGAGAGAACUCUCGUUAAGGAACUCGGCAAAAUGACCCCGUAACUUCGGGAGAAGGGGUGCUGACCGCAAGGUCAGCCGCAGUGAAUAGGCCCAAGCGACUGUUUAUCAAAAACACAGGUCUCUGCAAAAUCGAAAGAUGACGUAUAGGGGCUGACGCCUGCCCGGUGCUGGAAGGUUAAGAGGAGAGGUUAGCGCAAGCGAAGCUUUGAAUUGAAGCCCCAGUAAACGGCGGCCGUAACGAUAACGGUCCUAAGGUAGCGAAAUUCCUUGUCGGGUAGGUUCCGACCCGCACGAAAGGCGUAACGAUUUGGGCACUGUCUCAACGAGAGACUCGGUGAAAUUAUAGUACCAGUGAAGAUGCUGGUUACCCGCGACAGGACGGGAAGACCCCAUGGAGCUUUACUGCAGUUUGAUAUUGCGUGUUUGUAUCACAUGUACAGGAUAGGUAGGAGCCGAAGAUACCGGGACGCCAGUCUCGGAGGAGGCAACGGUGGGAUACUACCCUUGUGAUAUGACCACUCUAACCCGCUGCUCUUAGCGAGCAGGGAGACAGUGUCAGACGGGCAGUUUGACUGGGGCGGUCGCCUCCAAAAAUGUAACGGAGGCGCCCAAAGGUUCCCUCAGAAUGGUUGGAAAUCAUUUGUAGAGUGUAAAGGCAGAAGGGAGCUUGACUGCGAGACCUACAAGUCGAGCAGGGACGAAAGUCGGGCUUAGUGAUCCGGUGGUUCCGCAUGGAAGGGCCAUCGCUCAACGGAUAAAAGCUACCCUGGGGAUAACAGGCUUAUCUCCCCCAAGAGUUCACAUCGACGGGGAGGUUUGGCACCUCGAUGUCGGCUCAUCGCAUCCUGGGGCUGUAGUCGGUCCCAAGGGUUGGGCUGUUCGCCCAUUAAAGCGGUACGCGAGCUGGGUUCAGAACGUCGUGAGACAGUUCGGUCCCUAUCCGUCGCGGGCGUUGGAAAUUUGAGAGGAGCUGUCCUUAGUACGAGAGGACCGGGAUGGACACACCGCUGGUGUACCAGUUGUUCUGCCAAGAGCAUCGCUGGGUAGCUAUGUGUGGACGGGAUAAACGCUGAAAGCAUCUAAGCGUGAAGCCCCCCUCAAGAUGAGAUUUCCCAUCACUUUAAGUGAGUAAGACCCCUGAGAGAUGAUCAGGUAGAUAGGUUGGGAGUGGAAGUACAGCGAUGUAUGGAGCGGACCAAUACUAAUCGGUCGAGGACUUAAU